rnacentral:rRNA from 1 species
CACGUAGGGCGCAAGCGUUGUCCGGAAUUAUUGGGCGUAAAGAGCUCGUAGGCGGUCUGUUACGUCUGCUGUGAAAACCCAGGGCUUAACCCUGGGCUUGCAGUGGAUACGGGCAGACUAGAGGCAGGUAGGGGAGAAUGGAAUUCCCGGUGUAGCGGUGAAAUGCGCAGAUAUCGGGAGGAACACCGGUGGCGAAGGCGGUUCUCUGGACCUGACCUGACGCUGAGGAGCGAAAGCGUGGGGAGCGAACAGG